CACCCGGUGCAUUUAAAAAUUUUCCUACAAAAACAACCCAUACACACAUUCUCAAAACAAGUUGGAUUGGCGACCAAUCCUACGUGGUAAUCCAAAAUUUUGAUACGCUCUGAUUUCACCUCCCAAUGUUGCUGUCACAAUCACCAUCCCCCAUGCUGUUGCCCGCACAGUUUGGUUGCCAUGGCUUCCAUCAACCCAUGACCAAGAAGAAGAACGAGAAGAAGAUGGAGAAGGAGUAGCUGAAAUGGAAGGUGAAUCACCAUACCUUAUGG
rnacentral:misc_RNA from 1 species